rnacentral:tRNA from 1 species
AAUUCAAUGCCUGAUAAAAAGGGCCAUCUUGAUAGGGUGGAUAAUGUGGGCCCCCACUUGAAUUA